CACCAGGGACACCACUCUCCCCACAUCGUACACUGACAUAUUAACUUAGAGACUUAUUUUGACUCAUUAAUUUGGGAUUUUUUCAAGGGUAGAAUUCAUACCAGAUAUAAAAGAUUUAUAACUCAGGUUGUAAGGUAACAAACUUGUAUACAUUAAAAUCAAGGACGUGUUCUGUAUAAAUAAAAUUGUACGUGAAGGAUAAGGUAAAAUAACGAUAAGUCACUGUAAUAAAAACCAGCAUUGGGUCUUGAGCUUCGUCUUACACGUGUCCAGCAGGAGCAAGUGACACGGAGGACAGCACCUCCCCGACCAGCCUUAAUAUCAGCAUCGUCUUCAGUGACUCCGUCUUCUCCCCACUGACCGGAGGAGCGGUAGUCAACAAAAGCUUGGGUGGCAACGGAGGAGCGAGGGAUCCAAGCUUCACCUUGGCCGCCCUACGCCAGCCCGGCAUUCACUUAGAGGAGGGCGAAGAUAUAGAUUCCUUCAUUGCAAACCUUACCAUUCCUCCACCAGCUGAAGGAGGUGUGAACCUUCAGACGUGCGCGGAGAACCGUAAGAGGGGGAACGAGUACGACAUCUCUGCGUUUAUUAUCCCGCCGCCUCCUCCACCCUCGGACGAGAAGGACAACAGGUCGUUCGACAUUAUACGGAGCCAAAGAAGGAAUCAGUAGGAUGGUGUGCGAGGACAACAGCGACAUGGAGGUCGGGGAGAAGGACCACGACAUGGGCGAGGUGCACGUCAGCUCAGAGACGAUGGCCAAGCGUGCCAACCUAGCGGGGAAGGUCGCAUCUCUGCAGAGGCGCUUCGAAGUUCCUCCCAGGACUGCCUACGGUAGUCUGCCUACCUCAAGUGCCUCCGUAGACAAUCGUCAGUUGCUACCGAGAUCAAAUAAUUCUAAUGUAGGACAUGAACUGCAUGCCAAAUUGGCACAGGCAUUAGAGGAAAAU